GACGAACGCUGGCGGCGUGCUUAACACAUGCAAGUCGAACGGUAAGGCCCUUCGGGGUACACGAGUGGCGAACGGGUGAGUAACACGUGGGUGAUCUGCCCUGCACUUCGGGAUAAGCCUGGGAAACUGGGUCUAAUACCGGAUAGGACCACUGCCUGCAUGGGUGGGGGUGGAAAGCUUUUGCGGUGUGGGAUGGGCCCGCGGCCUAUCAGCCUGUUGGUGGGGUGAUGGCCUACCAAGGCGACGACGGGUAGCCGGCCUGAGAGGGUGACCGGCCACACUGGGACUGAGAUACGGCCCAGACUCCUACGGGAGGCAGCAGUGGGGAAUAUUGCACAAUGGGCGCAAGCCUGAUGCAGCGACGCCGCGUGAGGGAUGACGGCCUUCGGGUUGUAAACCUCUUUCAGCACCGACGAAGCGCAAGUGACGGUAGGUGCAGAAGAAGGACCGGCCAACUACGUGCCAGCAGCCGCAGUAA
rnacentral:rRNA from 1 species